ensembl:lncRNA
AUAUGAAAUAUUUCUCUCAUAUGAUUAUUCUUCAAAGCAGAGAUAAUUACAGUUGCACUCUGCUAUGAGAAGCCUUUGCUGAUCAAACUGAUUUAGUAGUGAAGACAAUCUAUUGCUUUUCAUACCUCUGGGUAAUUAGAAUAAGCUGGCUGGGCGAGCAACCAAGAGAGUUUACGCUGAAGACAGAUUCCCCCUGAGUCUGCCCUUUGAAAUCAAGUUUGGUAGAAGAUUAGCCUUGUCAUAGCAUCUUAGUCUUCUGAAGCCUGGCUGGGAGAGGAAGGGGAAAUUUAACAGUGGAUGAAAGUAGAAGCAGUCCUCCAUAAGAAGGUAUCAGACUGGUUUAAGUGGAUUUUGUGAAGUAUUUGCAUGCACGGAGGAGUGUUUCUGCGUGUAUCCUGGUGCUGCUCUCUUUGUGGCUGGCUGGAACCACUUCUGGGAAACAUGAAAGACUUAUGUUGAGGCUGAUUCCAGUGCCAGCUGAAAUGAAAGAAGUGGGAUCCCUUCCAGACCUGACCAGUUCACUUGUGUGAUGAAGAACUUAUAUCCGCUGGCAUAGCCACCCUGGGGCAAUGGUUGUUUGUAUACAUUUGGAAACUCAUGGGCAUCGGGUCACUCUUAUUUCUGGGAUGCUUAAGUGUUCCCUGUGAACAACUCCUGCAGAACCAAAGAGGAGUGCCAGUACGUUUGAGUUAGAUAAGCAGCCCUUGUACAUGAACCCCAGCGCAUGAAGCAUUAUCCUUCUGAACAUUUCAUUUACAGUAUUGUAAGGUUUGUUGUUUUUUUUUUAAUCACAUACUCUACUACUACUAAUUACUAGAGGAGCAAUGCAGUCUCCUACUCUAAUAGUCAGAACUUGUAAGUCUCACUUAAAGUCCAGUUAUUCCACAAUGUCUAUAGAAAGAUGUGAUUUGGUCUCUGUUCAUAUUUCUUCAUAUUCUCAGUCUGAGCACUGACUGUGUGAAUGCUGCCUCCUCAUUGACACAGCCUUCUUGAUCAUCAGCAGACCUUACCUUUUACCUGACCAGAACAUCCUCAAAUUCCAUGAAAACGUAUUAAAUGUCAUCUCUUAGAUUUAUUUAUUUAUUUAUUGCAAAUCUCAGCUGAGAACGUACUGACCUUCUGCCUUGGUAUAAAUCCACUACCUCUGUUAUAUGUGUUUAUUCCACAGUGUGUUUGAGGAUGCAGUCCUAAUGAGAGAAACACAAAGUGAAGUCAUACAAGUUCUCUGUAUGUAGUCUCAGCACAUAGAAGGAAUGAACUAACACGCACAGAUGGGAGGUUAUCUUUCCUGUACUUUCAUGUAUUCAAAAUAGCCUGAGAACAGAGACUGCACCAUUCUCUGUAGAAGAUUCUGAUCUUAGCUGGAGCGUUACCACAGGUACAUGUAAUUGUGGUAAAAUACAUAUCACUACAAAAUAAGGGCUUAAUUGUGUUUCAAGGUGAAGCAUUACCAGAAAGGAGUUAUGGGGCAAUUAUUUAUUAGCCUUGAGUUGGGAAGAAAAUUGUUUGAGGACCCAGUUUUAUUUUUCAAGGACUUAGCUCCAGCUUAAUUUGAUUAAUUUCCUGAAAAGACCAAGAGUUAUUGAAAAUAUUUUUAUGUGAAUGCUGUACUCAGCCUAUAGAUUCCAAUGUAAGAAUUAAAGUAUAUAUUGAGCUUUUACUUUGAAAAUGCUAUCCUGGAAUCAUAGAAAUCCUUCACUUUUGUUACAGUAGAAGCAGAAGAUCCUCCUUUUUUUUUUUUUUUUUUUUGGCUCCCUCUUUUUAUGCAAUAAAUAUUUGUUGCUC